rnacentral:rRNA from 1 species
UACAGAGGUGGCAAGCGUUGCUCGGGAUCACUGGGCUUAAAGGGCGCGUAGGCGGUGCGGUGCGGUUUCGGUGAAAUCCCUCGGCCCAACCGAGGAACAGCCGGGGCUACGGCCGCGCUAGACGGCAUCAGGGGACAGUGGAACUCCCGGUGGAGCGGUGAAAUGCGUAGAUAUCGGGAGGAACGCCGGUGGCGAAAGCGACUGUCUGGGGUGCCUGUGACGCUGAGGCGCGAAAGCCAGGGGAUCAAACGGG